rnacentral:rRNA from 1 species
GCGCAGCAGGCGAGAAACCUCCGCAAUACACGAAAGUGUGACGGGGCCAUCCCGAGUGCCGUCCGCUGAGGACGGCUUUUCCCCAGUGUACACAGCUGGGGGAAUAAGGAGAGGGCAAGCCUGGUGUCAGCCGCCGCGAUAAUACCAGCUCUCCGAGUGGUGGGGACGCUUAUUGGGCCUAAAGCAUCCGUAGCCGGCUGGGCAAGUCCUCCGUUAAAUCCAACGAUUCAAUCGUUGGGCUGCGGGGGAUACUGUCCAGCUUGGGGGCGGGAGAGGCCGACGGUAUUCCCGGGGUAGGGGUGAAAUCCUAUAAUCCCGGGAGGACCACCAGUGGCGAAGGCUGUCGGCUAGAACGCGCCCGACGGUGAGGGAUGAAAGCUGGGGGAGCGAACCGGAUUAGAUACCCCUGUAGU